CACGUAGGGGGCAAGCGUUGUCCGGAUUUAUUGGGCGUAAAGAGCUCGUAGGCGGCUUAGUAAGUCGGGUGUGAAACCUCCAGGCUCAACCUGGAGACGCCACCCGAUACUGCUGUGGCUAGAGUCCGGUAGGGGAGCGUGGAAUUCGGUGUAGCGGUGAAAUGCGCAGAUAUCAGGAGGAACACCAGCGGCGAAGGCGGCGCUCUGGGCCGGUACUGACGCUGAGGAGCGAAAGCGUGGGGAGCAAACAGG
rnacentral:rRNA from 1 species